rnacentral:tRNA from 1 species
NNGGUUUAGUUUAAUAAAAGCAAUUGAUUUGCAUUCAAUAGAUGUAAGAUAUGGUCUUGCAACCCUUA